rnacentral:rRNA from 1 species
UACGUAGGUGGCAAGCGUUGUCCGGAAUUACUGGGCGUAAAGAGCUCGUAGGUGGUUUGUCGCGUUGUUCGUGAAAACUCACAACUCAAUUGUGGGCGUGCGGGCGAUACGGGCAGACUGGAGUACUGCAGGGGAGACUGGAAUUCCUGGUGUAGCGGUGGAAUGCGCAGAGUAUCAGGAGGAACACCGGUGGCGAAGGCGGGUCUCUGGGCAGUGAACUGACGCUGGAGGAGCGAAAGCGUGGGGAGCGAACAGGA